AGCUUGUCUACACAUUUGAAUAAUUUUUAUUGUUCACUCUUUAGCACCGUAUUUCCGAAGCCCGCAGAAACACCCAAUAAAAAUGAGCGCUUUAAUCGCAUUGGCCUCACUGUUGUGGGCUAAUUAAUUGUGUAUUUAAUUAGAAAAAAAUUGCCGUUAAUAAAAUCCAAAUUGAAGACUCUUCAGAGAAUGUUAUGAUGUAUACAACGAAUGGAGCGUUCUGGAAAUUUUUAGACUAGAACUACAUUAAACAGAACAAUGUCGGGUGCCGAAAUAUGGAGAAAUAUAUGUAUUUAUAAAAGCUUUCAAAAAAUCUAGAACACUGGCUGUAUCACUAAUCUGAGUACCGCAAAGCGAACACAAGCUUUCAGAAAUCCUUAAAACCAACCUGCAUAUUAUAUCUGUACUAAAAAUAAUUCAGUAAAUAAAAGCGAAAAUAUAUAGCACAUGGCAGAUCAACUGAGAAUCUUAAUAACUUUUCGGUUUCUAUCGCCAUUCGUACGUCCACAAUCCCUCCUUGCAUUUAUAUCAUUCAUUUUUUAUUAUUUUUAUUUCCUUUAUUAACUUGUCAGGCUCUUUCUUUUAUUAUUUGAUCAAAGCUAUCGCUGACUUUUGCUAUUAAUAUCCAUAACAUUUUUGUUGUUGCACUCACAGUGUUUGUGUGUGCGUGUUUAACGCGUGCGUGUCGAAAUAUGGUAUGCAAAUUUACAAAUUAACAAUUCGUCAUGCUCACGGCUCAGCGUGCUCCGGUCCGCACCUUAACCACAGUCAGUCAGCUGAAAUAUUCUUCAAUUGCUGUCGCUGCUGCUUCAGCUUCAUCAAUAUUUUCUCCGUGUUUUCAUUCUCUACUUUUUUCUGUUUUUAUAUCUUUUUUU